ensembl:lncRNA
GAGCUGAUUCAUUGGAAAAGACCUUGAUGCUGGGAAAGAUUGAAGGUAGAAGGAGAAGGGCAUGACAGAGGGUGAGAUGGCUGGAUGGCAUCACCGACUCAAUGGACAUGAGUUUGAGUAAACUCUGGGAGUUGGUGGUGGACAGGGCGGCCUGGUGUGCUGUGGUUCAUGGGGUCACAAAGAGUCGGACACGACUGAGCGACUGAGCUGAACUGAGCUUCCUCGGUAGCUGCUUGGUAAAGAAUAUGCCUACAAUGCAGGAGACACCGGAGAUGCAAGUUUGAUCCCUGAGACAAGAAGAUCCCCUGGAGGAGGAAAUGGCAACCCAGUGCAGUCUUCUUGCCUGAAGAAUCCUAUGGACAGAGAAGCCUGGUGGGCUACAGUCUGUGGGGUCGUAAAGACUGGCUACGACUCGGCACACAAGCACACAAUAGUGCAGAAAGCAUCCUAAUCCAACGUGACUGAUGUACUUAAGCAGCAAGGACCUCUGGAGGAGACAGACUCACAUGCAGAGAGAGCGCCAUGUAAAGACAAAGACAGAGAUGACUGCUGCGCCUACAAGCCGAGGAGCACCAAAGACUGCUGGCAAGCAGAAGCUAGAAAGGGUAGACUCUUCCGCACAACCCCUCAGAAGGAACUAACCCUGCUGUCACCUUGAUCGUGGACUUGUAGCUUCCAGACAGGGGCUGGCAUCGCCUCCCGUCCUGCGAACUUCAUUCCUCUGGAUCCUGUUCUUGUUGAUCCUGCUUUGCUUUUGGAUGGAUUUCUUCAGAAACAGCUGUCCGAUGUUCCAGGGUUCUCUGCUCUGCUGUGGUCUGCCUUGCUCACCAAAGAUCACCGCUGUGGUCGUUCCUGGGCCCUGGGAACCAGGGUGCGCGUGAAGCUCUUCUCUGUGCUCUGUCUGGCCGUGAGUCUCAGCCCUUGCUCUGUUUAACCCUGGUACUAUUUCUUUCUCCUUUG